rnacentral:tRNA from 1 species
GGGAAUGGGGCUCAGUGGUAGAGUGCUUGCCUGGCAUGCAUGUAGCCCUAGGUUCAAUUCCUCAGUACCA